AUGAGUCGGGUGCUUGUAUUUGUGCUGAUGGCUGCUUGGAGUCUUGGAAGCAGCAGCCAGACCGUGCACCAGCCUAAAGUGGACGUCCACACUGUGGAGGGUGCAACAGUGACGCUGGACUGCAGUUAUGUCACAUCGGUGAGCAACGACUACAUCUUCUGGUACAAACAAGAAGCCAACGCAGCUCCCGAGUUCAUCCUCAGCCGAUUUAAGAUUGGUCAUGGCAAGACGGCAGAAAAGUACGCUGACAGGUAUCGCUGCAGCAUGAAUGCCAGUGCUCAGCAAGCUCCUCUUUGUAUCGAGCACGUGAAGCCCAGCGACUCGGGAGUCUUCUACUGCGCCUUGCAGCCCACGCUGACACAUCCACUGGCGUGCCUGCACAAAAACUCUUGA